CCAGAGAAAAUGGAUCUUUCCCUAAAUCUGGACUGUGAAGAUUUUGAUUUGCUGCUUGCAGAUUAGUAGAAAACUGGUCAACCAAGAGCACGUUUAACUCAAAGCAGCUGGACAUGGACCUUAUGCCUCAAGGAGCAAUCAUGGACCCCCCCUACUUAAUGAUUUGCAGAUUGUACUAGAUUGACAGAGGCCUGUGUUUGACAAUAAAAUGACUUCCCCCUGAGUCAUGGUAUUGGAAUUCGGGCACCUGAAACCUGAAUCAUCACCUAACUUUGUGACUUGAAAAUGUCCUAAGAACAAGCACACUCUCCAUCAGGAAACAAACACACAAGAAGAUGCCCACUGUGAAUCCAAACUCGGGUGGCAAUUUUGAAUUGUCUAUGGUGAAUUUUUUUAAAUGACUUUUCUGUAUUCAAACCGAGGCUGCAACUAGAAUGACUUUAAGCAAGAUGAUUGUAAUUCUGUGGGGAAUUGUCAUAAAUCAAAACAGUUCUUCUUAGGCAUCAACACAUGGUCUUAAUCAUCUUGUAAUAAAUCACUCAGAGUUCAAAGGGUAAAGGUGGCCCGUCACAAUCAAAUCCUAAGAUUGCUUCAUCUACCCGCAUGUCUUUAUAUUAGCCUGCAGUCUUUGUGUUAGCAUUGCGGUGCUGCAUGGUGAUCUGAUAGGCAGAAAUGUAUUUGAAUCAUUAAGAUGCUUGGGUUGAAGACAGCAGGGCCCUCACUUCUGAUUCUAAAAGGCUCUCUCUUAAAGGUGACUUACACAUUCAUUAUAUUUCGGUGCCUUGCCUAUGUAAAUUAGUAAUCAAAUAUUCUAAAUGGAUGAUGGAAAAUAAUUUUAUCUAUUGCUAGCAUCCUAAAUCACAGUCAUAAGGUUUUAAAAGUCUGAUUAAGGAGUUUUGUUAAAAUAUCUAAGUGUCAUUUUGGUACAUUUUCUAAGUUAUUAAAUCUUCUGUAGACAUAUGAAAAAAUUCUAUAUGCAUACAUGCAAACUUUAUUUAGAAAGGCAAAUGAAAUUGGUUACAAAAGUCUUUUACUACUCAAUUUAGUCAACUUCUUCCUCAUGAGAUAAGCUGGUGGAAUGAAUGAAUAUUAAUUAACUUAUUGACUCCUUGGUCACAUGAUGCUGUGUGACUCCAUUAUUUUAAUAGUCUGUCUUCCAUGGGUAUUUUUUAUAAAUGUUUGAGAAAAUGAACCAACAAAUUAAUUUCUAAUAAUUCUCUAUUUACACAGUCCUUCAGAUGUUCUCCAUCAUUUUCUGAUUUUAAUUACAGUUCUACAAAUAUGCAAGAAGAAGAUGAAAAUUCUUUUUUCAUUCUAAAGAAUUUGGAGAGAACAAAUAAUUCAAGUAAUGUGAGAUGAGAAGCUUUCACAGUAAAAUUUAUCCUUCAUAGUAUAGAGCCUUGACUUCUGAUAAAACAUAUGGUCAUUAACUAUCACCCCACUGAGAUAUGGAAGAGGUUAUCAUCCUCCAAAUUUCCCUCCUGCCCUUUGUAUUUUACACUUAGCAAAAUGCACUAAAGGUUCGUUCAUGUUGUUGUAGCCGUAGUUCAAUUCAUUGUA